rnacentral:lncRNA from 1 species
AUUUGCCAGUGAAAAUGCUCCAGAUGCUUCCCUGAAGUCUCAGCAGCAGAAGGGAUAGUUUAAAGGUCUCAAGCAGCAGGCUGGGAAUGCCUCCAUUCCUCGAGAACAGCAGGCUCAGCUCUGCAGGCUGCUCAGCCUUUCCUGCUUCCGAGGGCAAUAAAUUGAAUACCAUUCUGUUUACUGCCUGCCCACAAGUUUCAAGUGGAAGAGGAUUAUGGAGAGUUGAGCCCAGCAAGGGGAAUAGAGGGAGCCUCAGCCUCCUGCUCUCUGCUCAUUUUCCACAACAGCUGGCGUCACCUGCCACAGCCCCAGCAGCUCCUCUGCACCCUGAUGAAGUGCUCAGCAAACAGCCGUGCAGGCUGCCUCUGGCCAGGAGCUUUGGAGCUGGCAUAGCAGGGCAUGGUUUGAGGAUGAUGGAGCAUUGCCUACACUGUCUAUCACUGGAACUGCGUUGGAGCUCAGGCUGGGGAACCAUUUUCUGAGCAGCCUUCCCAGCUCCCUGAAAUCAAUGGUGACACCCUGAAGAAACCCCAAGGUGAUUGUUCUCACUCUUGUUCAGGGCCGUUCCUUGGGUUUUGCAGAAUUCCAGACAAACAAAGUCCCCUUUCUUGCAAAAACGUGUGUCAUUUUUGACUGGGACUCUUGCUUGUUCCUGUUAUUUUGGUGAGUUGUGGCUUUGUUUCUUCUUGGUCUAUUAACCUGCUUUUUUGUAUGUUGUA